rnacentral:snRNA from 1 species
AUGCAGCCCACGGGCAAAUUUGAAACUUACUUACCUGGACGGGGUCGACGGCCGAUCAAGAAGGGUCAUGGCCUAGAUCAAUGGCCCGCAUUGCACUUGGCAAGCGUGUUGAUCUGCCAUCUCCCCUUGUGGGAGAGUGGGCGUCAUAAUUUGUGA